rnacentral:lncRNA from 1 species
UGAAAGCUAAUUGACUUAUUUAUAUAUCUGUUUAGCCUGAUGUCUACACCAUCAUUUUUGGAGAAGCUGUCAACUCUGACGAAGGAAAGCGGAAGGCAGGCGAGCCGCACCUGCGAAAAGGCCUGGAAUUCCAGGGCCAACCCCGCCCAUCUGUUCUUUUCUAAGAGUACUUGGACCCUGCUUGAUUGUUUGAGAUCCAGCGAUUGGAUUUUCUGAAAGUAAAUCUCAGAAAUGGAAAUUCACGCUCAUUACCUUGCACAAACAUUUUUAAUUUCUGAGUGGCCUGCAUUGAGCCUAGAGGCAAGAAUCCUUGCUGGAGCCAUAGUCUAGCCUGUAAAAGCCGAAAACCUUCCGCUGAGGGUAGAAAGGCAAUAAUUUAGACACACACAGAAAAUUCCUAGCUGGAAGACAAGAAAAAACGCUCCAAGUGAAGUUAGAAAAUUUACCUUUGUAUAAAAAUCCUUUGAACAUUAUUGGACGGAAGAGAUGCAAUUUCCAGCCCUGUGCGUGGUCACUCAGAUGCACCGUGGCGUGACUUAUUAGGUCAUUUUAGACUUCUUCACAGUCAACCAAAUCCUGGGCCUGGAUGGUGAGUCACCUGGCAUGUGAAGGUGGCUAAACCCAACAGACUGAGGGAAGGAAGGCAGUGCUUUGAACUGGGGAGUCCUCACGCAUGCCUACUUGCACAUGCGCUGUUACUCAUCCAGGAAGAAUUCCUCCCGUGGCCACAGUGUGCCAGGCGCUCAGCCAGACAUUCGAAUGAUAAAAGUGAGUUCCUGUCAUUGAUGCGUUCUCAGUCCUGAUAAUGACUUUGACUGAGAAUCUGGCCUUAGAAAUGUUCACAGCUUUUGAACCAGUAAUUCUAUUUCUAAUUAUUUGUCUUGUGGAAAUCAUUUCUAGUAUGAAAAAAAGCCUUUUGUCAUCAGUAUUUGGGGAAUGGCUAAGGGUGCAAGCUUUGGUGUCAGGUCUAGUUUUGACUUCUCUCCACCCCUCAAAUUUUGUUAUCUGUACAAUGGGGAUAAUAGCUACCUCAUAAGGAGGUUAUGAGUGUUAACUAAAAAAUGAAUGAUAAACAUAAUGAAUAUAAAAAGCCUGGCACACUGCUUGGGAGAAGGAAUUAUUCAAUACACUUAUUGGGAUUGUCAUCACAGAAUUAUUUAUAAUAUUAAGCUUUGGAAUAUUAACAUUAUUAAACGCUGGAAACAAAUUAUCCUAAAUGGGUGGGGGUUGAUGCAUUGUGUUGAGAUAUAUAUUCAGUGAAAAGUUAUGCAGCUAUUAAAAAGAUUGUAACGUUUGUGACAACUGGUAUGGUAAUAUCUUCUUAGAGUACAGAUCCUAGAGAGCCAGCAGUUUCUUUCCCAGACUCCCUUGCAGCUAGGGUUCCCGAUAUGAAUUAAUCAUGGCCAUUUAGAUGCACUUAUUUGAGAAGUAAAGUGGAAGUCACACUUCUGCUGCCUUCAUGGUUUCUGCUGAUAGCCAUGAUCAUGAAUACUUUUUGGAUGUGUGUACGUGUGGCAGAGUUGGCAGAGGUCCCAGUGGCGUUGCUAUGAGGUCAACAGUUCCAGUGCCCACCCCUGGCUUGAAAGUAACUAGGGCAUUGCUGGAUUCAGCAGUCAAGGUGGCAGCUUUCUGGUGCCCUACCUUCCUGAUGGUAGUGCUAGCCGCUGCCCUGGCUGGCCAGUCCUGCAGUGCUGUCCAUCCCUGGAGAGCCAGCCUUGAUCCUCUCCCAUAGUCCUUCCCAUAGUUUUGUAAGCACUGAGAUCCCUCUGUUAAAUCAUUUCUGCUUAAAACAGCAAUUUUUGUUAUUGGCAACUAAAUCCUCACUGAUGUAUGUUGGAAGGCAUGCCAAUACUAUAAAACUGCAUAUUGUAUGAUCACAAUUAAGUAAAACAACAACAAAAUUAUAUGGAGAGAAGUACCAGAAAGAUAUUUCUCAAAGUGGAUAGUGAGUAUCUUUGGGUAGUAAGACUAUGAGUGAUCUUUCAAUUUGCUUUGCAUUGCCUGCAUUUUUGUGUGUGUGUGUGUGAGGAAGAUUGGCCUUGAGCUAACAUCUGUUGCCAAUCCUCCUCUUUUUGCUUGAGGAAGAUUAUAGCUGAGCUAACAUCUGUGCCAGUCUUCCUCUAUUUUGUAUGUGGGUUGCUGCCACAGCAUGGCUUGGUGAGCGGUGUGUAGGUCUGGGCCUGGAAUCAGAACCCACCAACCCCGGGCCGCCAAAGUGGAGUGAGUGAACUUAACCACCAUGCCACUGGGCUGGCCCUGCCUCCAUUUUUAAAAAACAACUUUAUUCAGCUAUAAUCACUUACCAUAAAUUCACCCAUUUAAAAUGUAUAAUUCAGUGAUUUUUAGUAUACUCACAGAUAUGUGCAAGCAUCACCACAGUCAGUUUGAGAACAUUUUUAUCACCUCAAAAAGAAAUUCCAUUACUAUUGAAUCCUUAUCCUCUCGUCCCCACUACUAGCCCUAAGCAGCCACUCAUCUACUUUCUGUGUCUAUAGAUUUCCCUAUUCUGGACUUUCAUAUGAACAGAAUGAUAUAGCUUAGGGCUCUGGCUUAUUUCACUUAGCAGGAUGUUAUCCAGGUCGUAGCAUCCCUGUUGUAGCAUAUGUCAGUACUUCACUCCUUUUUACGGCUGAAUAAUAUUCUAUUGUAUGGAUAGACCACAUUUUGUUUACCCAUUUGUCCACUGAUGGACAUCUGAGUUGCUUCCACCUUUUGGCUAUUAUGAAUAGUGCUGCUAUAUCCCUCCAGCUUUUAUUUCGACCAUGUAGCAAUUUUAUGAUAAAUAUUUAGUUAGUUUUAUAACAAGGAAAAUCUGGCUUUGGUAACUAGUCCUUUUGAGUUUGGUGUUGAGAAGAGGGCAAGAUUGUAGAUUUCGUCCUUGGAUUGGCCAGUUAGCUUAGGACGCAAUGAAACUCUGUUCCAAGCCAGAUCACAGCCUCCAUCUGUAUCCCCAUGUCCACAGACCUUUCUAUAAGUAGUGUUCUUGGUCACUAGAAGGAUGAGAAAAGAGGCUAUAAAUUCAUCUCCACUCCUCAGGAAACGGCUCUGAUGCCAGGAGGAGUGAUUGUGGUCACCUAGCAGAAGUCCUGAGAUUUGACUUUCGGUAUUUUCCCUUUAAAAACCGUAUCUACUGGGAUGCGGGAAAUGUUCUCUAUCUUGAUCUAGGUGGUGGUUACAUGGGAUUCAUGUGAAAAAUUCACCAAGCUCUAUACUUAAGACUUGCGGAUGUUAUUAUAUUUGACUCUAUGAAAGUUACAUCCGAUUAAAGAAAAGAAAUUAUAUCCAUGUGGUUUCCCUCAGAUCUUCCUUUCACCCUCCCUCUCCAGCUCUGCUUUUCCUUUCUGGCCAUUUCUAACUGACCACAGGUUCAUACCACACAGUUGGUAAAGGACAGAGCUGGGAUCUAGUCCAGCCCUUACGAACUUGGUGUGGCAUGCUGCUUCCACCAGGAACUCUUCCAAUGCCUAGAAUUGAUGUGAUUUUUGAGACUUGGCCUCCAACCACAUGGCCAGUGAGGACAGGGGCUGGUCUAGGGGGCCAGACCUCUUGGUUCUGGGGCACAUGUUCUGUCUGUCCCAUGUCCCUCUUUACCUCUGGUACCCAGCUUUGUACCAGGCACAUAGCAGAUGGCCAAUAAAUAUUUGUGGAGUCAGUGCGACCAGAGUGGGGUUAUCA